CUCGGAGCUCAGUACCGGAGGGAAUGGCGUAGCAUGGUUUAGCUAUAGCUUAGCUUCUUGUAAUAGCAGUGUUUCAGAAGUUCUCCAUUUUGCGAACUUUGAACUCGGUGAAGCUCGUGUCCAGCACAGUUUUCUUCCCGGGAAUUCAGGUUUUGUAAGGAGAGCUGCCUGAAGGAUUUGGUUUAACGUUGAGCCUGUGCAGGCGUUGAUGUGCUGAGUCGAGCUGAAAGCUUCAUCCAGUUGGUUUUCUCUCACCGACCUUGUCAGGAUGGAAGGAAGCAGAUAAAAAUUAUUUAUUUUUUUCUUGCUUAAGCUUGAUUUACAGCUCGGUGAACUGCUCUAACAUUGCUGGAAGUUGCAGGAAAUGAGAUAUAUUUUAUUUCAUUUGGUUGCAUCACUGUUGCUGCUGCUUGUGAUGACAAUCUGCACAACCAAGAACAAUAAUCCCCCCUGGAUUUAGAUUUCCAUCUCAUUUAGAGCUAAAAAUGCAGCUUGAAAGUAAAAUGAGGCGCUUCAACU